AUUGAACGCUGGCGGCAGGCCUAACACAUGCAAGUCGAACGGUAACAGGAAGAAGCUUGCUUCUUUGCUGACGAGUGGCGGACGGGUGAGUAAUGUCUGGGAAACUGCCUGAUGGAGGGGGGUAACUACUGGAAACGGUUGCUAAUACCGCAUAACGUCGCAAGACCAAAGAGGGGGACCUUCGGGCCUCUUGCCAUCGGAUGUGCCCAGAUGGGAUUAGCUAGUAGGUGGGGUAACGGCUCACCUAGGCGACGAUCCCUAGCUGGUCUGAGAGGAUGACCAGCCACACUGGAACUGAGACACGGUCCAGACUCCUACGGGAGGCAGCAGUGGGGAAUAUUGCACAAUGGGCGCAAGCCUGAUGCAGCCAUGCCGCGUGUAUGAAGAAGGCCUUCGGGUUGUAAAGUACUUUCAGCGGGGAGGAAGGGAGUAAAGUUAAUACCUUGGCUCAUUGACGUUACCCGCAGAAGAAGCACCGGCUAACUCCGUG
rnacentral:rRNA from 1 species